rnacentral:rRNA from 1 species
UACAGAGGGUGCGAGCGUUAAUCGGAAUUACUGGGCGUAAAGGGUGCGUAGGUGGUUAGAUAAGUUAGGUGUGAAAUUCCUGGGCUUAACCUGGGGACUGCGCUUGAUACGGCCAGGCUUGAGGAUGGAAGAGGGUCGCGGAAUUCCCAGUGUAGAGGUGAAAUUCGUAGAUAUUGGGAAGAACACCGGUGGCGAAGGCGGCAUUCUGGACUGUAACUGACACUGAGGAACGAAAGCCAGGGGAGCAAACAGG